CAUGCAGCCCAGCCGUCCACACAUCUCACCCUUCUCCCCUGGGCCCCCGCGUCGUCCACCACUUGAGGGGUGAAGACCUAGCAGCGCCACUUUCUCCUCCCCUUCCCUCCCCUGACCCACCGCCGCCGGAGGCGUCGGCCGACGAAGCUUGUCUGUCUCCGGGGAUGGAGACGGCGGGGCGUCUUUCUACCUGGCGGGAAGCGGCGGGGUUGCUUCUCCGGCUAGCGCGUGUGGAGGUGGUGGCGGCGACGCAUGUUGCUCCGGCAUGGUGCCAUGCGGCGCACGGCCGUGCUCGAGGCCGUGGUGCACAACGCUGGUGUGAGCGCUGUUGGCCACUGGAUGGGGCGGAGGUCCCCCGCGUGGUCUGCUGGAUCUCGCGCCGGCGGGGCGGUUGCCGUGGUGGAGAGCAUGGGGCGCCGGCACGACUGUGCUAGGGGCUGUGGCAUGCUGCACUGGUGUGCGCGGGGUUGGUAGCUGACUUGGGCAGCGGCCUCCCGAGUGGCCUGCUGGUGCUAGUCUCCAUGUCAGGCAGGCGGGCUGCAGAUGUUUCGUCUCCUGUCGGUCCUCUUGAUGUGCUCCGGCCAGAUGCCGUGCUGGGGGUGUGGCUGUUAUUCCUCUUCCUUAUGCGGCAGCGCCGGCGAAAGGACGACGUGGUGCUGGACAGACUCCCUUCCCCUUCCUCCUCUGUGGAUAUUUCUUUCCUUUCUUCCUUACUGAUUUCAACAGUUUUCAUGGGUGCGCUUAUACUAAACAAAAUUAACAUUGUGGGUGUGCCGCUGGCUGUUGGUAUUGAUAAAAGAAACUGAUGCUCAUAUAUGUGCGGGGACAUAGUUUGUUGAGUAAGAUCAGCUAAUUCUUCCAACGCUGUCUACCUCAUAAAAGAAGUGGUGAGCUUUUCCUUCCCGUGUUAUAUUCUUCUAGGUCUUGGUCUUGCAGAUCCUUGCAAUUUUUUAUUUCUGUUUCAUGAGGGAAGAGAGAGAUUUCUUUGAUUCAGUGAAUUUAAGAGUAAGAAGGGGAAGAGAGGUUGAAAGGUUUUGGUAUUGAAUGCCUCCGUGGCCUUUCAGUAGGAGCAGUUCAUGCUUUUCUGUUUGUGUAGUUACUUUGAUAUUUCUUCUGAUUUAUUUGGCUUCAGAACAAGUUUUUUUUAGGGGAACGUUUCAGAACAACUUCCUUCCUACAUAUCUCUCACCAACAAGCUGAGAUUAUAUUUGCAGGCUAUAUGCAUGAGAAAUAAAAGAACAUGAUGUACCAAAGAACUUCACAGGCCAGAAAUGUGGUGAAUUUAUCAAAGCACCUUUUUUAUUCGUGGUGACAUCUAGCCAAUGAUGGGUGUGCAGCUGAAGGCCCUGUUGUUUUCUCUUGCUUUUUUUGAUUAUAUAUUUUGGUUUUGUACUCCUUUGAUCGACAAGUGGGAUGGUACGUUUGAUGGGUGUGCAGGUGAAGAUCCUAUUGGAUUGGCUUGAUUAGGAAAUGUUGUUUGCCUUGCUGAAUUUUGUUCAGUUAGUCAAAGAACCAUGUACCUUGCCUUGCCGACAACGUUGUAUAAUUUGUGAAGUUUUUACCAAUGUAAAGAGCGACUCAGAGAGCACGUCGUGCUCAUGCU